rnacentral:rRNA from 1 species
UACGGAGGGUGCAAGCGUUGUCCGGAUUUAUUGGGUUUAAAGGGUGCGUAGGCGGCUAAUUAAGUCAGUGGUGAAAGCCUGUAGCUCAACUAUAGAAUUGCCAUUGAUACUGAUUAGCUUGAGUUUGGUUGAGGUAGGCGGAAUGGAUGGUGUAGCGGUGAAAUGCAUAGAUAUCAUCCAGAACACCGAUAGCGAAGGCAGCUUACUGAGCCGAAACUGACGCUGAGGCACGAAAGCAUGGGGAUCGAACAGGAUUAGAAACCCGCGUAGUCC